CCCCCCCCCCCCCCCCCCCCCCCCCCCCCCCCCCCCCCCCCCCCCCCCCCCCCCCCCCCCCCCCCCCCCCCCCCCCCCCCCCCCCCCCCGCCCGCCGCAGCCGCGGGAGCCCCGGUCCGCGGGGGAGCGGCGCUGCCCGCCCGCUGCGUGCGCGCCGGGCACCGGCCCCGCAGGAUAGCGCUGGUUCGGAUCCUUGGAAAGGCAGAACGUGCAUGCACGCACACAGAACUGUGGGGCGUCGUGCGCUAGGUCAUAGAAGUGCCUGAGAACAGCACCCAAGAGUAAAAAACGCGUCUCGUAGCAGAUGCUGCCCAUCCACGAGCCGUUAGAUCUGGCCACCGAUCUUCACUAUUGCAGUAAUUAUUCUUGCAAAUGCAAAAAGCCACGACAGCACGCAGGUCCAACCAGUACAGUAUGUGGCAGCGAUAUUGUCCUAGCACGCUGGAAUACCAAGGGAUUCUUUCAGUCACAGUGUUUCAGCGAUGCUCUUACUGUUUACUGUGUGCACGAUAGAGCACGAAAUGAGCUUGCAGUGAACUUUGGGAUCCUAAAGCUUGGCUUCUGUGGUGGGUUUAAUGGCAGUCCUGGCCCAUCUCAUCAAUCCAGUCUUGACCAGAUGAACCUCAAAGAAGAAAUAGUAGUGAAGGUGGUAGAGCCGGAAGAAAACUCAGAGGACAUGGUAGUGGUUCCACCUAGUCAAGAACAACUGCCUUAUCUGGGGACAUCAGGUGGUGGUUCCUCUGGGAAAGUAAAAGCCAAAACAAAAAGCAGGUCCCAGGCAGACCAAAAUGAAAUGACUGAAGAGGAUCUACUGCAGAUUCAGCAGACCCAAAUACAGUGA
rnacentral:lncRNA from 1 species